rnacentral:rRNA from 1 species
AGCUCCAAUAGCGUAUAUUAAAGUUGUUGCAGUUAAAACGCUCGUAGUCGGAUUUCGGGGCGUGCGAGCCGGUCUGCCGAUGGGUAUGCACUGGCGUCGCGCGUCCUUUCUUUCGGAGCUCUCCGCUGCUCUUAGCUGAGCGGUGGAGGGAGACGGAUCGUUUACUUUGAAAAAAUCAGAGUGUUUCAAGCAGGCAGCUCGCUCUUGCAUGGAUUAGCAUGGGAUAAUGAAAUAGGACUCUGGUGCUAUUUUGUUGGUUUCGAACACCGGAGUAAUGGUCAACAGGGACAGUCAGGGGCACUCGUAUUCCGCCGAGAGAGGUGAAAUUCUCAGACCAGCGGAAGACGAACCACUGCGAAAGCAUUUGCCAGGGAUGUUUUCA